rnacentral:rRNA from 1 species
UGGGGGAUAUUGCACAAUGGGCGAAAGCCUGAUGCAGCGACGCCGCGUGGGGGAUGAAGGCCUUCGGGUUGUAAACUUCUUUUGCUCUGAACAAGGCACACCAUGGGGUGUGUUGAGUGUAGGGGUUGAUUAGCGCCGGCUAACUACGUGCCAGCAGCCGCGGUAAUACGUAGGGCGCGAGCGUUGUCCGGAAUUAUUGGGCGUAAAGGGCUUGUAGGUGGCUGGUUGCGUCUGUCGUGAAAGCUCAUGGCUUAACUGUGGGUUUGCGGUGGGUACGGGCUGGCUUGAGUGCAGUAGGGGAGGCUGGAAUUCUUGGUGUAGCGGUGGAAUGCGCAGAUAUCAGGAGGAAUACCGGUGGCGAAGGCGGGUCUCUGGGCUGUUACUGACACUGAGGAGCGAAAGCAUGGGGAGCGAACAGG